rnacentral:rRNA from 1 species
GACGAACGCUGGCGGCGCGCUUAACACAUGCAAGUCGAGCGAGAACCCAGGCUUCGGCCUGGGGGACAGCGGCGAACGGGUGAGUAACACGUGGGUAAUCUGCCCUCGGCAUCGGGAUAGCCCGGGGAAACCCGGAUUAAUACCGGAUGGCCCGACAGCUCUUCGGAGCGGUCGGAAAAGGUAGCUUCGGCCUCCGGCCGAGGAGGAGCCCGCGGCGGAUUAGCUUGUUGGGGGGGUAACGGCCCACCAAGGCUCCGAUCCGUAGCUGGUCUGAGAGGACGAUCAGCCACACUGGGACUGAGACACGGCCCAGACUCCUACGGGAGGCAGCAGUGGGGAAUCUUGCGCAAUGGGCGAAAGCCUGACGCAGCGACGCCGCGUGAGGGAAGAAGGCCUUCGGGUUGUAAACCUCUUUCAGGAGGGACGAAGCCACUCGGGUUAAUAGCCCAGAGGGUGACGGUACCUCCAGAAGAAGCCCCGGCUAACUACGUGCCAGCCGCCGCAGUAAAAC